CUUGAAUUUAGUUAAAUAUGCACCCUUCCUGCCUUUACUCAAGAAGUUCAGUGUUUCCAAAGCUAUGAUUUAAGGGUAAACAUUCUUCCUCUCUGCAUCUUAGGGCUUCUGAUAUUCUGGAGAAACCAGUGUUAUCUGAGUGUCAAAGCUCAGUUAUUAACCCUUUCUCAGAGUUUCUGGAUAAUGUUAUUAGCUUUCAAGCACGUGAUGCUUCUCAAGAGAGCUGUUGACUUCCAGUCUGACCAAAUUCUUUCACGUCGUGGCGUGUACGAUGUAUAAAAGUUUUGGAAUGUCUCUGAGAUGACUUCUUCAGCCAAAAUCUCAUCCACUCCUCUGCGUCCGUCCACAUGUCCUGGGAAGCCUUCCCUGAUCACCUCAGAGCAGCUUCCGAAUGGCUCCAGAGCAAUAAAGGCUACAGAAACUAAAAAUAUAUUCUAAUCUUCUGACUUGAAAUUCUCUGAACUGCCUUCCUUGUCUGAUUUUAGGUUGUAAGACCCCCAGUCCGAAGGGGUCCUGUCCCAUACUCGGGAAGAAGGAACGCUGCAUAGACAGGCCAGGAAGAAUCUCGGCCUUACCGGGUUUCCCCACUCAAUCUAUAAGCAUUAGAUCAUACUCUUUUUGUCCAAUCACAGUUCUCCUUGGUUGUCAAUCAUACCUAUCCAAUAAAAUCUCCAUAAAAGGCCCAAGAGGAUAAGGUAUGGGAAACUUUUGCACAGCUGAAGUUCUGGAGGCUUGCAAGAAAAUGAACAAGAAUUCAUCCGCCUGCCGGGAGGGUGGCGCAUCCCUCUCCACGGGAACUGAGGCUCCUGCAGUCAGGACCCUUUCAGACCUCACCCUAUGUAUCUCUUCAUCUGGCUAUUUAUUUGUAUCUUUUAAAAUAGCCUUUAAAAUAAAUCAGUAAACCUAAGUGUUUCCCUGAGUUUUGUGAGCCACUUUUAGCAAAUUAAUCGCGCAUAAAGUGGUGGUCACCCAACUU
rnacentral:lncRNA from 10 species